rnacentral:rRNA from 1 species
UACGGAGGGUGCAAGCGUUAUCCGGAUUCACUGGGUUUAAAGGGUGCGUAGGCGGCGCGGUAAGUCGGGGUGUGAAAUCUCGGAGCUUAACUCCGAAACUGCAUUCGAGUACUGCCGUGCUUGAGGACUGGAGAGGAGACGUGGAAUUUACGGUGUAGCGGUGAAAUGCGCAGAUAUCAGGAAGAACACCGAUGGCGAAGGCAGUCUCUGGGACGGUACUGACGCUGAGACGCGAAAGCGUGGGGAGCGAACAGG